GACGGAAGGUGCAAGCGUUGCUCGGAAUCACUGGGCGUAAAGGGUGCGUAGGCGGCCGUGCAAGUCUGGCGUGAAAGCCCCGGGCUCAGCCCGGGAAGUGCGCUCGAAACUGCGCGGCUCGAGUGCCGGAGGGGAGAGUGGAAUUCCUGGUGUAGCGGUGAAAUGCGCAGAUAUCAGGAAGAACACCCGUGGCUAAGGCGGCUCUCUAGUACGGUACUGACGCUGAGACGCGAAAGCGUGGGGAGCGAACAGG
rnacentral:rRNA from 1 species